rnacentral:tRNA from 1 species
ACCUGGCUGGCUCAGUCAGUAGAGCAUGUGACUCUUGAUCUCAGGGUUGUGAGUUCGAGUCCCACAUUGGAUG